GCAACACCAACUGCCUUUGGAGAGUCCUUCACAGUGCCAUUACGGUUCAACAAUGAACAUGUUAGCAAGACUGAGGAAUCUCCUUAGGAGAGAAUAUGGAGAAGGGAGACAGACCAGAGACAGGCUGACUUUCAGCCUCAGUUGAAACCAUCAAAAAGGAAAUGGCUCAAAAGGAAGAACAGGGCUGCUGGAAAGCCAUCAACUCCCCCAACACUCCUCACUAAGAAGGAGGUGAAUCAGAAAAUGUAGAUUCUGACAGCCAGCUAGAGAAGUGACCAGAGAAACAAAGGAGCUGCGGGAUUGCCUCAGCUCCAUCACGGAAGGAUCCCCUGACAACAGAAGCAGAACCUGAAACCUGGGCAGGAGUGAGAUGGAGACAGACUAUUAUUCUGUUUCUUCCAAAAGAAAACCAGAGCCUAUGGCCUGAGUCACAUAACUCAGGGAUUGAAGACAGAGGUGUGAGUUCCCAGCAUGCAUUUGGACAGGUCCUGUCAAGUGGCAACUUCUGUGAGAAGCCAGCUGCUGGAUACAAGCAAUGACUUCUGCCAAAUGAUCAGUGUCCAGAACAAUUGAGAUUUUGUGAGGUCACAGCUUGACAGCUGACAUAACAGGAUGCCACUGGGACUGUUCCCUGACUGCCUCCUCCUCCUUCCAGAUCAGAAAAACCGCAACAUGAGCUAGAGCAGGCUUUGGGCCAUGAUGAGAGCCCCCUGCAGAAAGAGCUGCAGCAAGCAGGGGCACCAAAUGUCACAGUACCUUUUCAGAGAAUUGAGGAGGCCUAAGGAAGCCACAGACAACCAAAAGCCAUAACAUUCUCCAGCAUAGAAUCAAGACCUCAUCAGAAGAAAUGUCAUUCUAGCUGUAAUCUCACUAGUGAGACAAAUAUCAACCUAACUCUAGAUGCCAUGUCCAAAGUCUGAUCCAUGAGUCUGUUGGCUCAGUAUUUCUGGAGUAAAGGAACCAUCACAAAGAAGCUUAAGACACCAAAAAUCUGCCAAGAAUUACUUAGAGACCAAAAUCCACCUGCAAGCAGGCCUGAACAACAUGGAAGGAGUAUAUGUCUCUGCUCAUAAUUACUCUGAAAGUUUGUUGCUGAGAACAUCUGUCAGCUGAUGAGUCCUUAGCCCUUCACAUUUGGAGGAAAUCUGUCAAGGGAGACUAUUGAAGUCAUGCUGCUCUCCAGACAUCACAUUUUCAUCCUGUCCAGUGCCGAAGCUACUUCAUGUCAUGUACCUGGAUUUUGAAGUUAAUGCCUUUCAGAGAUGACAACUAUCCCUCGCUAAUUCUUCGUCAUUCAUUCUUCCAUUAUGAAAUUGGCUGCAGAUUCUCCUGGUUCACAGUCUUGAUGGAAGAGAACUGUCUUGAGAAAAGAUUGACAGAGGAUGUCAGAGUGGCCUUUUAUGUGUUUGGACAGCAGGUCUCCUCUGCUUUUGGUCUUGAGUAGCAAGCAGACAUAUGGUGAUGGAAGGAUAACAUAGUGGCCAGCAUAUUAUAGGAUCAUCUUUGGUGAGUGCUUAACCUGCAAAGCCCCCAAAUGGCCUGGCUACACUUGUCUUGAAAAGGUUAUUAUAAUCUAUGCCUAUCUUCCUAUUAUGUGUCCAAAGCUGGCCACAGGGUGUAGGUCAGUGCCACGAAAUCUGCACGUUGAAAAUACUGCUUUGCUUAACAUUAUUGUUUGGUUUUUGGGGUUGAGGUUUGUUUGUUCAGGAUUUGGUGGUUUUGUUCUGGUUUCACGUUUUACGAUUCUUUGGUUCUAUGUUUUGUUCUUGUUUUAUAUUUAAAAUUUUGCUAAGGCUAUAUGCUUUAUGUACAAAAUGCCCUGGUUAGGCCCUUUAUUUCUGUUUCAUAUUUGAUAUUUUGCUGAAGACAUAUAUUUUAUAUAUAAAAUGACCUGUGUAUGUCCCUAC
rnacentral:lncRNA from 1 species